rnacentral:rRNA from 1 species
AUGAUGAACGCUAGCUACAGGCUUAACACAUGCAAGUCGAGGGGCAGCAUUUUAGUUUGCUUGCAAACUGAAGAUGGCGACCGGCGCACGGGUGAGUAACACGUAUCCAACCUGCCGAUAACUCCGGAAUAGCCUUUCGAAAGAAAGAUUAAUACCGGAUAGCAUACGAAUAUCGCAUGAUAUUUUUAUUAAAGAAUUUCGGUUAUCGAUGGGGAUGCGUUCCAUUAGUUUGUUGGCGGGGUAACGGCCCACCAAGACUACGAUGGAUAGGGGUUCUGAGAGGAAGGUCCCCCACAUUGGAACUGAGACACGGUCCAAACUCCUACGGGAGGCAGCAGUGAGGAAUAUUGGUCAAUGGGCGAGAGCCUGAACCAGCCAAGUAGCGUGAAGGAUGAAGGCUCUAUGGGUCGUAAACUUCUUUUAUAUGGGAAUAAAGUUUUCCACGUGUGGAAUUUUGUAUGUACCAUAUGAAUAAGGAUCGGCUAACUCCGUGCCAGCAGCCGCGGUAAUACGGAGGAUCCGAGCGUUAUCCGGAUUUAUUGGGUUUAAAGGGAGCGUAGGUGGAUUGUUAAGUCAGUUGUGAAAGUUUGCGGCUCAACCGUAAAAUUGCAGUUGAAACUGGCAGUCUUGAGUACAGUAGAGGUGGGCGGAAUUCGUGGUGUAGCGGUGAAAUGCUUAGAUAUCACGAAGAACUCCGAUUGCGAAGGCAGCUCACUAGACUGUCACUGACACUGAUGCUCGAAAGUGUGGGUAUCAAACAGGAUUAGAUACCCUGGUAGUCCACACAGUAAACGAUGAAUACUCGCUGUUUGCGAUAUACAGUAAGCGGCCAAGCGAAAGCAUUAAGUAUUCCACCUGGGGAGUACGCCGGCAACGGUGAAACUCAAAGGAAUUGACGGGGGCCCGCACAAGCGGAGGAACAUGUGGUUUAAUUCGAUGAUACGCGAGGAACCUUACCCGGGCUUAAAUUGCAACAGAAUAUAUUGGAAACAGUAUAGCCGUAAGGCUGUUGUGAAGGUGCUGCAUGGUUGUCGUCAGCUCGUGCCGUGAGGUGUCGGCUUAAGUGCCAUAACGAGCGCAACCCUUAUCUUUAGUUACUAACAGGUUAUGCUGAGGACUCUAGAGAGACUGCCGUCGUAAGAUGUGAGGAAGGUGGGGAUGACGUCAAAUCAGCACGGCCCUUACGUCCGGGGCUACACACGUGUUACAAUGGGGGGUACAGAAGGCGGCUACCUGGUGACAGGAUGCUAAUCCCAAAAACCUCUCUCAGUUCGGAUCGAAGUCUGCAACCCGACUUCGUGAAGCUGGAUUCGCUAGUAAUCGCGCAUCAGCCAUGGCGCGGUGAAUACGUUCCCGGGCCUUGUACACACCGCCCGUCAAGCCAUGAAAGCCGGGGGUACCUGAAGUCCGUAACCGCAAGGAGCGUCCUAGGGUAAAACUGGU